CCUAUGGCCGCACGAACCAGUAGCAGGAAGACAAGAAUAGAGAAGAAAGGAAGAUUAUAAAUCCGUUUCAUUCCUUGGCCGUCUUCAUUGUGCCUCUCCUAUCUUUGCUUUCCCAUUCCAUUUCCUUUCCUUUUGCUUUUCUGCGGCAUUUCGUCGAGCAGAAACCAUGAUCAGAUUGUUUAAAGUGAAAGAAAAGCAAAAGGAAACAGCUGAAAACGCAAAGGAGAAUGGUCUCGUAAAGAAGCAAAGUGCAGGAGAAUUGCGUCUUCAUAGAGGAACCUAACAUCGACUUAGAAGCGGGAGCUGUUGCUGAACCGAAAUCAAAUUCAUCACAGCAUAUCCCGUUGAAGGUAGGGUCGAAACCGAAACUGCAUGGUUAAUCGCUAAAAGAUGUUUUCUUGUGCGGAAGAAAUUUCAUGAAAUUAUAGCAGUCGGUAUGGAACUAGUCGUACGAAAAGUGCACUUACUAGUAUGAUAAAAAAUUUGAGUUUUGCAUUAGGCAGUUGUUGCGAUGCUCAGACAAAAGCGGUGAAAAAUUAUCAAGGUGACACAAAUAAUGGGGAUGAGUUGAUGCGAGCAAACAGUUGGUACCUAAUUUUGCCCAAAUUCAUCACAAGGUUCAACCAUCACAAAUGUUGGAAGAAGUCAAGUUGAGUAUGCAAGGAACUUCAGAUUGAUAAAAGAGAUUGGGAAGCUAUGUUCAUGAAGGUUGACGACAAAGCAUCGCCGAACACACAAGCUUUUUGUAGGCACAAAUUAAGGAAAGUGACAAGAAGAAGAAAUCUUUUAUGUGAUGAGGCACCUCGAACCUCAGUGAAGACGAACCUAGCAUCACAAAUUGGUUUGGGUACAUAUAAUUAUUAGGUUAUCUUAUUAGAUUUUUAAGAUGUACCCCUUUUUAUUUGAGAAAUAAAAUUUAAUUAUAAUGUUUCA